CGAAGGAUGCAAGCGUUAUCCGGAUUCAUUGGGCUUAAAGGGAGCGUAGGUGGACUGAUAAGUCAGUGGUGAAAUCUUCGAGCUUAACUCGGAAAUUGCCAUUGAUACUGUUGGUCUUGAGUACAGUUGCUGUGGGCGGAAUAUGACAUGUAGUGGUGAAAUACAUAGAGAUGUCAUAGAACACCGAUUGCGAAGGCAGCUCACAAAGCUGUAACUGACACUGAGGCUCGAAAGUGCGGGGAUCAAACAGGAUUAGAUACCCUGGUAGUCCGCACCGUAAACGAUGAUUACUCGCUGCUAGAUGGCAACAUUUAGUGGCUUAGCGAAAGCGAUAAGUAAUCCACCUGGGGAGUACGCCGGCAACGGUG
rnacentral:rRNA from 1 species